ensembl:lncRNA
AAACAGAGUGUGAAAGCGGUUAGUGAAAAUGCUGUACAUUGCAUAUAUGAACUAAAUGGUAUUUUUGAGCUCCUGAAAAAUGAGGAAGUCUGGUUGCAAGAUUGCAGAGACUGAAGUUACAGUCAAGGGCUUCAAGGGUCCAACACUUCUUCAGAGGGGGUGGAGGAAAGUGAGAGGUACCUGUUGAAAUCGUGUCCUUGUACAGCAUAUCCUGUAAGAAUGGUUAAUGUAGUUUUUGUGACUUGGAAAGUACUAUGAUGUACAAUUUUUGGCCAAAUGUCUGUGAAAAUCUUAAAUAUAUGUACAUUGUUCAGCAGGAAAAAAUCAAUUCUUGUCACAUCAUUGUGUGUGUUCUUUUUUUAAGGCAGUGCUCUGGUAGAAGGGAAGUGCUGAAACGCUCCCAGGGUGUGGUGUUUGGUGAGGCACAUCCACCAUUAGAUGUGACUAAGCAGUAGAGAUAAACAGCAUGGGUUUUCAAAUUUGGCUUUGUUUGAUAGCAGUGCAGACUCCUCAGUUUCUCUUACAUAUGUAAUCUCUUAAUUCAUUUCUAGAACAGAUCUAAAUUAAAAAUCUUGAAUUGAUUUUUGUGUUUGAGUGUAGGGGCUGUUUCUCUUUAAUAAGCUUGCCUGUCAAAUUACAGUUCUGAAAGCAGAGCUCCUUAUUGUCAGAAACACUUUUUCCUUUCAGAGAAGAAACAAGAAUACCUUUCUUCCCUUCCCCUUCGUAUUCCCCUUGUUUUCUCAUGAGCUUCACUGGAGUCAAGUCCAUCUGAUGAACUGUGCACUCUUGCUAGAGGUUCUGUCUGAAGUGCAUUAUGGGCCAUUACCUGCAGGUUAGAAACUACAGCAAAGAGGCAUAAAUGCUCUCAAAAUGUUCAAGUCAGGGAGAGGGUCUUAAUGAAGAUACUGUUUCAUUUGAGAGAAACAGAAUUCUAGUUUUGCCUUACAGAAGUAGCAGAGGAUAAAGACACUGGCCAUAAGGGUUUUUGUGAACUAUGUGAUCUACAAAAUGCAUACUCUAACUCUUCUGAAUAUAUUAUCCUUGUUUCCUGUGGUACAGCAAUAACCAACCCAGAAGAACAAUCCUUUUUACAGAACACACAAGGACUGCAUUUGAUUGAGAACUUGAAUGUAGAUGGUAUUCAUGACAUGAAAAUGUUUUUUGUUUUGGAUUGGUGAUGCAUAUCUUGCUCUGUAUUUGUAAACUGAAAUAGGCUUAUGCAAAGGCUGUCUUUAGAAGGCUAUCAGCAUUGCCUUCUAAGCUGCAUAAACUUCUUCCCCUUCAUUUUGCAGGCCUUCUUAAUUGAGCUAAAAUUGUUACAGCUGCAUAAUCUUAUACUGGACACUUAAUAAGAUCUUAACAAGAUCAUAAGUGGAAUAAUUGAGUAUCCUAUUCCUCUUGUGUUUUCAAAUGAAAGCUUUCACGAUUUAUAUCAUGGUAAUGAUUGCCUCAUGACUGCAUGAAGAAACAGAAGAAAUCACUAGUAUAAUAUCCUGUGUAACUGCUUAUACUGCAGUUUGUCAUUUCUCCAUGUUUUCACACUUCCAGUACCAUGCAGUUUUUGCUUUAGUGGCUAGUUUUCAUUCUCUUGUUCUUAAAGUGCUUUUUGAGUUGUCAGAUUUUGCCAAGCAUCUGCUUACCUGCUAUCCAAGUCCAAAAUGACCGAUCUGGUCAUUUUGCUAGAAAAUAAAAAAAAAGUACAAUUUUUUUUUUUUAAAAGG